ACUCACGCAGGACAAGUGGUGAUUAUCAGCGUUUGUGUCUCCAGGCUCCACCCGGCCGUCUCCAGGGAGAUUUGUGUCCACACGUCGAGGUCUGCAUGACUUUUCGGGUGUUUGUGGAGCCUGGAAGGUCUCAGGUGAUGUUUGUCCGUUCCCUGGUGGAGGAUUAGGAGCCCAGCGGUGUGGCGGGUUCAGGCCUCCGGUCAGCCGGGGUCAGCGGCUCCUGCUGCUCAGCUUCUAGACCUGGAGGGUCCAGGAAGGAGAAAACCUGGAAAACAAACACAACGUCCACAGGCAGAAUCAAGGAGAG